rnacentral:rRNA from 1 species
UACGGAGGGAGCUAGCGUUAUUCGGAAUUACUGGGCGUAAAGCGUACGUAGGCGGCUUUGCAAGUUAGAGGUGAAAGCCUGGAGCUCAACUCCAGAACUGCCUUUGAAACUGCAUCGCUUGAAUCCAGGAGAGGUGAGUGGAAUUCCGAGUGUAGAGGUGAAAUUCGUAGAUAUUCGGAAGAACACCAGUGGCGAAGGCGGCUCACUGGACUGGUAUUGACGCUGAGGUACGAAAGCGUGGGGAGCAAACAGG